GGUUGUAUAGUGUAGCGGUUAGCACGUGGGAUUUUGAUGACAUCAAAAUUUAGAUUUCCCGAAUCCCCGGUUCGAGCCCGGGUACGACCU